UACGUAGGGUGCGAGCGUUGUCCGGAAUUAUUGGGCGUAAAGGGCUCGUAGGCGGUUUGUCGCGUCGGGAGUGAAAACACACAGCUUAACUGUGUGCUUGCUUCCGAUACGGGCAGACUAGAGGUAUGCAGGGGAGAACGGAAUUCCUGGUGUAGCGGUGAAAUGCGCAGAUAUCAGGAAGAACACCCGUGGCUAAGGCGGCUCUCUAGUACGGUACUGACGCUGAGACGCGAAAGCGUGGGGAGCGAACAGG
rnacentral:rRNA from 1 species